UACGGAAGGCAGCAGUGGGGAAUAUUGCACAAUGGGCGCAAGCCUGAUGCAGCCAUGCCGCGUGUAUGAAAAAGGCCUUCGGGUUGUAAAGUACUUUCAGUCGUGAGGAAGGUGUUAAGGUUAAUAACCUUAGCAAUUGACGUUAGCGACAGAAGAAGCACCGGCUAACUCCGUGCCAGCAGCCGCGGUAAUACGGAGGGUGCGAGCGUUAAUCGGAAUUACUGGGCGUAAAGGGCACGCAGGCGGUUAAUUAAGUUGGAUGUGAAAUCCCCGGGCUUAACCUGGGAAUGGCAUUCAAGACUGGUUAGCUAGAGUCUUGUAGAGGGGGUAGAAUUCCAUGUGUAGCGGUGAAAUGCGUAGAGAUGUGGAGGAAUACCGGUGGCGAAGGCGGCCCCUGGACAAAGACUGACGCUCGAUGUGCGAAAGCGUGGGGAGCGAAACAGGGAUUAGAUACC
rnacentral:rRNA from 1 species